AAACGCUGGCGGCGUGCUUAACACAUGCAAGUCGUGCGAGAAAGCUCCCUUCGGGGGGCGAGUAAAGCGGCGGACGGGUGAGUAACACGUGGGUAACCUGCCUGGGAGCGGGGGACAACUUGGGGAAACCCGAGCUAAUACCGCAUACGCUCCUGGGGCUUUGGCUCCAAGAGGAAAGCUGGCCUCUGCUUGCAAGCUAGCGCUCCCAGAGGGACCCGCGCCCGAUUANCUUGUUGGUGGGGUAACGGCCUACCAAGGCGACGAUCGGUAGCCGGCCUGAGAGGGCGAUCGGCCACACUGGGACUGAGACACGGCCCAGACUCCUACGGGAGGCAGCAGUGGGGAAUAUUGGACAAUGGGCGCAAGCCUGAUCCAGCAACGCCGCGUGGAGGACGAAGGCCUUCGGGUCGUAAACUCCUGUCAGUUGGGACGAAAAGUGGUC
rnacentral:rRNA from 1 species